CCCCCGCCCCCCCUCCCCGGGCAUGGGAGUCCUGGGAGGGGCUGCGGUUACAUCGUCUUCCUUCCCGCCCCCGCCGUGUACCGGCCGUCCCACGUCCCCUCGUCCCCUCGGUAGUCCGGAAGUCAGACCCCAGCUCUUCCUCGAACCCGCCGGGUGACUUGGACACGUUGCUUAAUGUCCCCGUGACUCAGCGUCUUUGUUGGAGAAAUGGGAGUAACCCUUGCCACAUGUGUCAUAGGAAACUUCGAGAGCUCACCAGUGCAGGCUGGAGGUGCGGAAGCGGGCAGGUGUGACCGGGCCUAUGGGGAGUGUGGCCUACCUGCUCCUGGCAAUUUACCUGGGCUCAAGGUGACAUGGCUUUGCUCCAAAACCCGGACCCUCCCAUCUCUCUCUUCCAUUAGCGCUUGCCAGGACCAGGAAGCAGAGGAGCAGGACGGAGUGGGGUUCCCGCUUCUGCUCUGGGACCCCCACAGCAGUCCCGAACUUCUUGCCUCUGGACUCCUUUUAAUGGAAAAACUCUUGAUUAUGUCACUGUUCUUCCCUGUUGCCGUUACUUGAAGUAAAAGGCAAUUACCUAA